UCUACUCGAUAUCCACGAAUACUCAACCUUCUCUGGACAUCUCAGCAUGUGUACUGCCGUUGUAAGCACACCUUUAAAAGAUAAGUGUGCUACUAUGACUAAUAAAAUAGCUCAUAUACAUCAGGUCAAAGUGCAGCCCAUAAGAAGGUGAUGAUGGGUUACAACCAUAAAAAAGACUAUCAACUAAGAAAUAAAAAAUCUUACGAAAGUGGACUUGACCGUAAUCAAUUUACAAGUUAAAAAAAUGAAUAAAAAUCUAAGACAUGUACACAUCGCCCGUCACUCUAUCCUAAAGGUUAGAUAAGUCGUAACAAAGUAGGUGUAAUGGAAAUUGUACCUGUCGGAGUAUAGCAUAUAUAAUGCUUUUUACUUACACUAAAAAUAAAGUCAAAACUUGCUUCGCCUACACAACUCAAUCCUUUAAAUUAUAAAGUAAUAAAAACAACUAAAUAAAACUAAAAUAACAAAGUACAGAAAUGGAAAAAAAAAUAAAUAAAAGUAUUUAUUAACAAUUGUACCUUGUGCAUUAUGGUUUUACAAGAAAUUAAUUAAAAAUAUAAAUCCCGAAUUCUAAAUGAGAUGUCAAACUGCUGUUAUGAACUCAUUAAUAACUGUAGAAAAAGUUUUAAAAGACAGUUUGACAGAGGCUACAUACCAUUCGCAUAAGAAUAUAGCUGGUUUUCAACAAAAAUUAUAUAUUAAAGCAUAUAAUUAUAUUAUAGUGUUAUUUUAUUGAGGAUAAGCCCGAUAAAAAAAGCAAUUAUUGUAUCAAUCUAUUCCACUUUAUAGGCCUAAAAUCAGCCAACUAAAAUACUUUACCGUAAUAUAUACAGACAUAAGAUAUAUUUACAAAUGCUAAACAAAGUUGAAACAACGGAUAAACCAACAUAUACCACCUAUACUAUGUAAAAAUAAGUAUUAUAAAAUAUAAAUAACAAUAACCCAGAAAUAAACACAACACAAUUCAAUAAUAAUUAAUUAAGGAACUCGGCAAACACCUAUUUCGACUGUUUAACAAAAACAUUGUCUCAUGAACUAGAUAUGAGAUAAUACCUG
rnacentral:rRNA from 1 species